rnacentral:misc_RNA from 1 species
CCAAUUUAUUUAUACAACAUAAAAUAAUAUAUAUCUUUGUUUAAUACAUGUCAAUAUAUAUUUUAUUUUUUAUGUUAUUUAAACAACACAUUCAAAAACACCAAUAUUUAAAAAACAUAAAAAUAAAAUCGAAGUUUAAAGUAUAAAAAUAAAAACCCUGGCAAUAACCUACUCUCCCGCGA